rnacentral:rRNA from 1 species
GGUUAAGCGACUAAGCGUACACGGUGGAUGCCCUGGCAGUCAGAGGCGAUGAAGGACGUGCUAAUCUGCGAAAAGCGCCGGCGAGGUGAUAUGAACCCUUGACCCGGCGAUGUCCGAAUGGGGAAACCCAGUGCAAUCCGUUGCACUAUCGUUAACUGAAUACAUAGGUUAACGAGGCGAACCGGGGGAACUGAAACAUCUAAGUACCCCGAGGAAAAGAAAUCAACCGAGAUUCCCCCAGUAGCGGCGAGCGAACGGGGAGCAGCCCAGAGUCUGAAUCAGCUUGUGUGUUAGUGGAAGCGUCUGGAAAGUCGCACGGUACAGGGUGAAAGUCCCGUACACGAAAAUGCACAGGCUGUGAACUCGAAGAGUAGGGCGGGACACGUGGUAUCCUGUCUGAAUAUGGGGGGACCAUCCUCCAAGGCUAAAUACUCCUGACUGACCGAUAGUGAACCAGUACCGUGAGGGAAAGGCGAAAAGAACCCCGGCGAGGGGAGUGAAAAAGAACCUGAAACCGUGUACGUACAAGCAGUGGGAGCACCUUCGUGGUGUGACUGCGUACCUUUUGUAUAAUGGGUCAGCGACUUAUAUUCUGUAGCAAGGUUAACCGUAUAGGGGAGCCGAAGGGAAACCGAGUCUUAACUGGGCGUUAAGUUGCAGGGUAUAGACCCGAAACCCGGUGAUCUAGCCAUGGGCAGGUUGAAGGUUGGGUAACACUAACUGGAGGACCGAACCGACUAAUGUUGAAAAAUUAGCGGAUGACCUGUGGCUGGGGGUGAAAGGCCAAUCAAACCGGGAGAUAGCUGGUUCUCCCCGAAAGCUAUUUAGGUAGCGCCUCGUGAACUCAUCUUCGGGGGUAGAGCACUGUUUCGGCUAGGGGGCCAUCCCGGCUUACCAACCCGAUGCAAACUACGAAUACCGAAGAAUGUUAUCACGGGAGACACACGGCGGGUGCUAACGUCCGUCGUGAAGAGGGAAACAACCCAGACCGCCAGCUAAGGUCCCAAAGUCAUGGUUAAGUGGGAAACGAUGUGGGAAGGCCCAGACAGCCAGGAUGUUGGCUUAGAAGCAGCCAUCAUUUAAAGAAAGCGUAAUAGCUCACUGGUCGAGUCGGCCUGCGCGGAAGAUGUAACGGGGCUAAACCAUGCACCGAAGCUGCGGCAGCGACGCUUAUGCGUUGUUGGGUAGGGGAGCGUUCUGUAAGCCGUUGAAGGUGGCCUGUGAGGGUUGCUGGAGGUAUCAGAAGUGCGAAUGCUGACAUAAGUAACGAUAAAGCGGGUGAAAAGCCCGCUCGCCGGAAGACCAAGGGUUCCUGUCCAACGUUAAUCGGGGCAGGGUGAGUCGACCCCUAAGGCGAGGCCGAAAGGCGUAGUCGAUGGGAAACAGGUUAAUAUUCCUGUACUUGGUGUUACUGCGAAGGGGGGACGGAGAAGGCUAUGUUAGCCGGGCGACGGUUGUCCCGGUUUAAGCAUGUAGGCGGAGGUUCCAGGUAAAUCCGGUACCUUUUAACGCUGAGGUGUGAUGACGAGGCACUACGGUGCUGAAGUAACAAAUGCCCUGCUUCCAGGAAAAGCCUCUAAGCAUCAGGUAACACGAAAUCGUACCCCAAACCGACACAGGUGGUCAGGUAGAGAAUACCAAGGCGCUUGAGAGAACUCGGGUGAAGGAACUAGGCAAAAUGGUGCCGUAACUUCGGGAGAAGGCACGCUGAUAUGUAGGUGAAGCCCCUGCGGGUGGAGCUGAAAUCAGUCGAAGAUACCAGCUGGCUGCAACUGUUUAUUAAAAACACAGCACUGUGCAAACACGAAAGUGGACGUAUACGGUGUGACGCCUGCCCGGUGCCGGAAGGUUAAUUGAUGGGGUUAGCGGUAACGCGAAGCUCUUGAUCGAAGCCCCGGUAAACGGCGGCCGUAACUAUAACGGUCCUAAGGUAGCGAAAUUCCUUGUCGGGUAAGUUCCGACCUGCACGAAUGGCGUAAUGAUGGCCAGGCUGUCUCCACCCGAGACUCAGUGAAAUUGAACUCGCUGUGAAGAUGCAGUGUACCCGCGGCAAGACGGAAAGACCCCGUGAACCUUUACUAUAGCUUGACACUGAACACUGGUCCUUGAUGUGUAGGAUAGGUGGGAGGCUUUGAAGCGUGGACGCCAGUCUGCGUGGAGCCGUCCUUGAAAUACCACCCUUUAAUGGCUGGUGUUCUAACGUAGACCCGUAAUCCGGGUUGCGGACAGUGUCUGGUGGGUAGUUUGACUGGGGCGGUCUCCUCCCAAAGAGUAACGGAGGAGCACGAAGGUUAGCUAAUCCUGGUCGGACAUCAGGAGGUUAGUGCAAUGGCAUAAGCUAGCUUGACUGCGAGAGUGACGGCUCGAGCAGGUGCGAAAGCAGGUCAUAGUGAUCCGGUGGUUCUGAAUGGAAGGGCCAUCGCUCAACGGAUAAAAGGUACUCCGGGGAUAACAGGCUGAUACCGCCCAAGAGUUCAUAUCGACGGCGGUGUUUGGCACCUCGAUGUCGGCUCAUCACAUCCUGGGGCUGAAGUAGGUCCCAAGGGUAUGGCUGUUCGCCAUUUAAAGUGGUACGCGAGCUGGGUUUAGAACGUCGUGAGACAGUUCGGUCCCUAUCUGCCGUGGGCGCUGGAGAAUUGAGGGGGGCUGCUCCUAGUACGAGAGGACCGGAGUGGACGCAUCACUGGUGUUCGGGUUGUCAUGCCAAUGGCACUGCCCGGUAGCUAAAUGCGGAAGAGAUAAGUGCUGAAAGCAUCUAAGCACGAAACUUGCCCCGAGAUGAGUUCUCCCUGAGACUUUGAGUCUCCUGAAGGAACGUUGAAGACGACGACGUUGAUAGGUCGGGUGUGUAAGCGCAGCGAUGCGUUGAGCUAACCGAUACUAAUGAACCGUGAGGCUUAACCUU